AUACCGCAUAACAAUGGAUGACACAUGUCAUUUAUUUGAAAGGGGCAAUUGCUCCACUACAAGAUGGACCUGCGUUGUAUUAGCUAGUAGGUGAGGUAACGGCUCACCUAGGCGACGAUACAUAGCCGACCUGAGAGGGUGAUCGGCCACACUGGGACUGAGACACGGCCCAGACUCCUACGGGAGGCAGCAGUAGGGAAUCUUCGGCAAUGGGGGCAACCCUGACCGAGCAACGCCGCGUGAGUGAAGAAGGUUUUCGGAUCGUAAAGCUCUGUUGUAAGAGAAGAACGAGUGUGAGA
rnacentral:rRNA from 1 species